GCCGGAGAGAUGGUUCAGUGAUGAAGGGCACCUGCUGCUCUUCUGGAGGACCAGGGUUUGUUCCCAGCGCUCGCACUGGGCGGCUCGGCUCACAGGCCUGCGACUCUGGCUCCAGGGUAUCUGACGCCCCCUCCUGGCCUCUGCGGGUACCUGCAGACAUGUGUCAUCAACAUCUACACAUAGCUAAACUUUAAGAAAGAAAAACAAGCAAAGUGAGUGCUAGAGAACGUCCACAGUGGUUUUAAAGAAGCUGAAGAAAGAUUGGUGAACAUGAAGGUGACUGCUAGGUUCUUUUACAGUGUAUAAGGACAGCAUGAAGAAAAGGACUCCGAAUCAAAGCGCCCCAGCAUCUGCACCGUGGAAAGGCCAAAGAGAGGAGAGAGGAGUGAAGAAAAGUAUUUGCUGCAGUUACAACGGAAAACUUCCUAGUGUUCUGACAGUUCACUCCAAACUGCAGAGACGUGAUGACCCAUGCAGCGGACAUGGCAGGGUCAAACACCAAAGUCAAAAGCAACAAUGGCGUCUUGAAGGCAGCAGGGAAAAGUGGGCUUGCUUUCGUGGGAGAAAACUCCACACUGCGACUCGGCGGGCAGGGUGAUGGGGACACAGAGCGACUAUGGGUGGCCCUGAGACGACACCUUAAGUGGUGAGAGACAAGCUAAAGCCUUUACCACACGUGCAAACCCUGGGAUGAUCUAUGGGUAGCAGGAGAAAUACUGAGGGAAGUACUCAAGGCCAACCAGACGCAGGAGACUUCAGACAGUGAGCAAAUGCACGGAAAAGAAGUCAAAGGACCAACAGAGUAACAACGGCAUUUUAGUGGAAGUAGAAUUAUACUCAGUGUAAUUAAGAGUGAAAUACAGUAAGUGCAUAUGCACACUCCUCAUGUAUCUUGAGCAACUGUGUAUAACGAGGGAUGACACAUCUUUGGAUUCUCCAAGGCAACCUUGUAAGUGCUGGAAGGCGGUGAAGACUUCCUUUGUCAGACCAAAACAACGGAAGUAACCUCGGUGUCCAGUCCUGGGGGAGGGAGCUGAAAAAGGCCCGGCACAUCCAUUCACUAAACAAUGCCAGAGCUGCGGCAAACAGGCGGCCGAGUAUUGAAACAAGUUGGCCUCAGAUGCACUGGGGAGCAGAAAAAGAAAGGACCUGGUGCCAAAGAGUCUACAGAGAUUUCUUGAAGCGAAGAGGAAAAUGGAGUCUGUGGUCUCAGAAGUCAGCGGAAGAUCUGGGGAGAGUUUCAAGGAAUUGACACACAGCUCAGGGUGAGGGAUUUCUUUCAAAGAGUCGGAGUUCAGGAGGUUGUUCUUGGAAGGAGUGAACUCCUAGACAAGGAAGGCAUGCACCUUGUGGAGUGGCCCUGGCUCUAUGAAGGGUUGACUUAGUGACCUAAUAGACCCCUUCAGUCAGAGUCUAGAAAUUUCUGAUUAAAACUCUGCAUAUACCCAGUCAGACCUUCUAGAAUUUCAUGGGUCACAGGACCUGAAUUCUUGGAAUUGGAAAUGAAUUCAGGCUAGGGACAGGACUCAUCCUUCAACAAGAGGAUCAGAGACAUUAAGAUGGAGGACGGCUUUAGUCCUUCUGAAGGUGCUGAACAGAGCAGCGCUGGACCUGUCCAGCCCCAGCCCUUGGCAAGGCCAAGUCUUCCAGUUGGCUCAAAGGCCGGCUCACAAACACCCAGGUUUCUUUUGUUAUAUAUGAAGUCUGGUUGCAAGGAGACCACAGCCCAUUGUUCUUAAAACAAGUGGGCUAAUUGACAGGGGCAUCCUCCUCU